AGUACCCUUAGGAAAAGAAAUCAACCGAGAUUCCCCUAGUAGCGGCGAGCGAACGGGGAGCAGCCCUUAAGCUGUUUAGAAUUUAGUGGAAUCCUUUGGGAAGAGGAGCGAUACAAGGUGAUAGCCCUGUACACGACGGAUUCUUUACAGUGAAAUCGAGUAGGUCGGGACACGUGUUAUCUUGACUGAAUAUGGGGGGACCAUCCUCCAAGGCUAAAUACUCCUGACUGACCGAUAGUGAACCAGUACCGUGAGGGAAAGGCGAAAAGAACCCCUGUGAGGGGAGUGAAAUAGAACCUGAAACCGUAUACGUACAAGCAGUGGGAGCCCUUCGGGGUGACUGCGUACCUUUUGUAUAAUGGGUCAGCGACUUAUAUUUAGUAGCAAGGUUAAGUGAAUAACGGAGCCGUAGCGAAAGCGAGUGUUAACUGCGCGUUUAGUUGCUAGGUAUAGACCCGAAACCCGGUGAUCUAGCCAUGAGCAGGUUGAAGGUUGAGUAACAUCAACUGGAGGACCGAACCCACUAACUUUGAAAAGUUAGGGGAUGACUUGUGGCUGGGGGUGAAAGGCCAAUCAAACCGGGAGAUAGCUGGUUCUCCCCGAAAUCUAUUUAGGUAGAGCCUCGGACGAAUUCCAUUGGGGGUAGAGCACUGUUAAGGCUAGGGGGUCAUCCCGACUUACCAACCCUUUGCAAACUCCGAAUACCAAUGAGAACUAUCCGGGAGACACACGGCGGGUGCUAACGUCCGUCGUGGAGAGGGAAACAACCCAGACCGCCAGCUAAGGUCCCCAAGUACCAGUUAAGUGGGAAACGAUGUGGGAAGGCUCAGACAGCUAGGAGGUUGGCUUAGAAGCAGCCAUCCUUUAAAGAAAGCGUAAUAGCUCACUGGUCGAGUCGGCCUGCGCGGAAGAUAUAACGGGGCUAAGUAUUGUGCCGAAGCUGCGGAUGCAAUUUAUUGCAUGGUAGAGGAGCGUUCUGUAAGCCUGUGAAGGUGGAUCGUAAGGUCUGCUGGAGGUAUCAGAAGUGCGAAUGCUGACGUGAGUAACGAUAAUGCGGGUGAAAAACCCGCACGCCGAAAACCCAAGGUUUCCUGCGCAACGCUAAUCGGCGCAGGGUGAGUCGGCCCCUAAGGCGAGGGCGAAAGCCGUAGUCGAUGGGAAACUGGUUAAUAUUCCAGUACUUUUGAUAACUGCGAUGGGGUGACGAAGAAGGUUAGGUGGGCCUGGCGAUGGUUGUCCAGGUUCAAGCAUGUAGGCUGGUUUCUUAGGUAAAUCCGGGAAAUCAAGGCCGAGAUGCGAUGUCGAGCUCUCUUUUGAGCGAAGCCAUUGAUACCACGCUUCCAGGAAAAGCCUCUAAGCUUCAGGUUAUUGAAAACCGUACCCCAAACCGACACAGGUGGGUGGGAUGAGAAUUCUAAGGCGUUUGAGACAACUCGGGUGAAGGAACUCGGCAAAAUGGUACCGUAACUUCGGGAGAAGGUACGCCCCUGCCGGUGAUGAGACUUGCUCUCUAAGCUAGUGGGGGUUGCAGUGACCAGUUGGCUGCGACUGUUUAGCAAAAACACAGCACUCUGCAAACACGAAAGUGGACGUAUAGGGUGUGACGCCUGCCCGGUGCCGGAAGGUUAAUUGAUGCUGUUAGACUUUGUCGAAGCGGUUGAUCGAAGCCCCGGUAAACGGCGGCCGUAACAAUAACGGUCCUAAGGUAGCGAAAUUCCUUGUCGGGUAAGUUCCGACCUGCACGAAUGGCGUAACGAUGGGGGCGCUGUCUCUACCCGAGACUCAGUGAAAUUGAAAUCGCCGUGAAGAUGCGGUGUAUCCGCGGCUAGACGGAAAGACCCCGUGAACCUUUACUAUAGCUUCACAGUGAACUUUGAGCAUGUUUGUGUAGGAUAGCUGGGAGGCUUUGAAGUGGGAACGCCAGUUCUCAUGGAGCCAACCUUGAAAUACCAGCCUGACAUGUUUGAGGUUCUAACUUGGUCCCCUUAUCGGGGAUGAGGACACUGUGUGGUGGGUAGUUUGACUGGGGCGGUCUCCUCCCAAAUUGUAACGGAGGAGCACGAAGGUACACUAAGUAUGGUCGGACAUCAUACGGUUAGUGCAAUGGCAAAAGUGUGCUUGACUGCGAGACAGACACGUCGAGCAGGUACGAAAGUAGGUCAUAGUGAUCCGGUGGUUCUGUAUGGAAGGGCCAUCGCUCAACGGAUAAAAGGUACGCCGGGGAUAACAGGCUGAUGAUGCCCAAGAGUCCAUAUCGACGGCAUUGUUUGGCACCUCGAUGUCGGCUCAUCACAUCCUGGGGCUGAAGUCGGUCCCAAGGGUAUGGCUGUUCGCCAUUUAAAGUGGUACGCGAGCUGGGUUUAGAACGUCGUGAGACAGUUCGGUCCCUAUCU
rnacentral:rRNA from 1 species